GAUGAAGAACGUAGCGAAAUGCGAUACUUGGUGUGAAUUGCAGAAUCCCGUGAACCAUCGAGUCUUUGAACGCAAGUUGCGCCCGAAGCCAUUAGGCCGAGGGCACGCCUGCCUGGGCGUCACACGUCGUUGCCCCCCCAUCUACUCCUUCGGGAUUGCGGGGGGCGGAUGAUGGCCUCCCGUGCGCCUCGUCGCGCGGUUGGCAUAAAUGCCAAGUCCUCGGCGACACACGCCACGACAAUCGGUGGUUGCGAAACCUCGGUUGCCCGUCGUGUGCGGUCGUCGCGCAUCGAGGGCUCGAAAAAAUUGCCGGGCUCCGGCUCGGCUUUCAACGCGACCCCUGGUCAGGCGGGGUUACCCGCUGAAUUUAAGCAUAUCAAUAAGCGGAGGA
rnacentral:misc_RNA from 1 species